CAAUAUAAUAAAGGGUUAGGUGUCGCAAGACUUAAUAGAAAAGUCGGUUAAAUGCCGGCGCGGUCACGCCACUGUAUCGGGGAGCGAAUCUGCACGCAAUGCCACUGGGGAAACCUGGGAAGGAGCGGAGGAGCCAUGAUCCGGAGCCAGGAGAACUGCCUAAUUAACAAUCACCGU
rnacentral:ncRNA from 1 species